CUGGCACCUAAGUGCAAAAUAAAUAUAAACUAAUUCAGACUAUACAUUCAAAAUGUAUAGCGUUUCUAAUACAAUAUGUGCAAGUUAUGUCCCUUUGGGGACACAUACUUCUGUGUAACAAUAUGCUAAGAUGUUUCAGUGAUGCAACACUGGACUUUUUUGUGAAUUUUUUUUCCUUCCCAAUAGCCAAGCAGUAACUGACUUCUAAGAUUGCUUCUAAAUCACAGUGGCAAGCUUCCACAGUUUGAGCUCAUACUGAUGUUAGUUUUAUAGAUUUUUUUAGAAUUUGGAA
rnacentral:lncRNA from 1 species